GAGAGGGUGCACAUGUGGCUGCUGGAAGGAGACCAGCGCUUGGAGAAAGCUCUGGAGGCUGUAGGUGGAGUCCAGCUGCGUCAACCGCUCUGCAAGCAAGGAAUUGCUUCAGAGGAGAACAGCGAGUAAAGGCUCUCUUUGAUCCACCUCCACACUUUAUUAACUGCCCGUGAAAGGAGGAGAUUAUUCCACCCUAAUAGAUAUAUACAUAUACGGAGGGGAAUAAAAGAAUAAAAGCAGAGGCAAAUGAAGUGAGCCAUUAGCCUGGAACCCUUCAGACCAGUCUGGCUUUCACUUCUGGUCACACCAGCCUGAUGUCGAUGCAAGGAUCUCCAGCACCCACAAGGAUGCUCCACGAUGCUGAAGAAGGUUUUCAAACCGCUUCCCUGUCCAAGGAAGAAGGUUCGUCGUCCAUUAUUUAUGAAAUCAUCAUGUUGUCUCUCGGAGGAGGCCUGCUGCUGCUCUUUGUGAUCAGUAUCACAGUGAGAAUUCUCCAGAGCCGCUGCACUCCACGUUACUCUUCCAAAGACCUCAGUGCACCUACCACAGUCCUGGAAAACACCGCAGUGACCAACAGCUGCUCUGAUAAGAUCUCAACAGUGAAUCUGACUGGCCCGGUGUGUCUGAGUUAUGUUUCCAGCAGGUCCACCGAAGGUACAGAAGAAACAAUUUCCAUUUCUGAGCUCUCGUUCUUCUCUGCUGUCCCGAUCACACCCUCGAAUUCACCACUGGAGCAGUGA
ensembl:lncRNA